rnacentral:rRNA from 1 species
AGUGGAUGGGGAGCAACCUAGUUGUGCGUGUGUAAAGGUAGUGCCAAGAAAAGCGAUGAUCAUGUUGAAAAUCAAUUCCCGGUACCCGAAACCGACACAGGUGGGCAAGUAGAGAAUACUAAGGGGCGCGAGGUAACUCUCUCCAAGGAACUCGGCAAAAUGACCCCGUAACUUAGGGAGAAGGGGUGCCACCGAGAGGUGGUCGCAGUGAAGAGGCCCAGGCGACUGUUUAGCAAAAACAUAGGUCUCUGCAAACUCGAAAGAGGAGGUAUAGGGGCUGACGCCUGCCCAGUGCCGGAAGGUUAAAGAAGUUGGUCAGUCUUAGGAUGAAGCUAGCGACUGAAGCCCCGGUGAACGGCGGCCGUAACUAUAACGGUCCUAAGGUAGCGAAAUUCCUUGUCGGGUAAGUUCCGACCCGCACGAAAGGCGUAACGAUCUGGGCGCUGUCUCGGAGAGAGGCUCGGCGAAAUAGGAUUGUCUGUGAAGAUACGGACUACCUGCAUUUGGACAGAAAGACCCUAUGAAGCUUUACUAUAGCUUGGAAUUGUGUUCGGGCUUCCUGUGCGCAGGAUAGGUGGGAGGCGUAGAAGGUAUUCUUGUGGGGAUACUGGAGCCAACGGUGAGAUACCACUCUCAGGAGGCUAGAAUUCUAACUUAAUUAAGGACAGUUUCAGGUUGGGUAGUUUGACUGGGGCGGUCGCCUCCAAAAAGGUAACGGAGGCGUACAAAGGUUCCCUCAGACUGGUUGGAAAUCAGUCGAAGAGUGCAAAGGCAGAAGGGAGCUUGACUGCGAGAAGUACAGUUCGAGCAGGGUGGAAACACGGUCUUAGUGAUCCGACGGUGCUGUGUGGAAGGGCCGUCGCUCAACGGAUAAAAGUUACUCUAGGAUAACAGGCUGAUCUCCCCCAAGAGUUCACAUCGACGGGGAGGUUUGGCACCUCGAUGUCGGCUCAUCGCAACCUGGGGCGGAAGUACGUCCCAAGGGUUGGGCUGUUCGCCCAUUAAAGCGGUACGUGAGCUGGGUUCAGAACGUCGUGAGACAGUUCGGUCCAUAUCCGAUGUAGGCGUGAGAAUAUUGAGAGGAGCCUUCCUUAGUACGAGAGGACCGGGAAGGACGCACCGCUGGUGUACCUGUUAUGAUGCCAAUUGUAAACGCAGGGUAGCCAAGUGCGGAGAGGAUAACCGCUGAAAGCAUCUAAGUGGGAAGCCCACCUCAAGAUGAGUAUUCUGGUGUAAGGUCACGGGAAGACGACCCGUAAAUAGGCACGAGGUGGAAGUGCAGAGAUGUAUGAAGCCGAAGUGUACUAAUAGACCGUCGGCUUGAC